rnacentral:lncRNA from 1 species
UCAGCCUAGGACUCCAGCACAUGACCUCACUUCCUUGGUGACAGGUCCAAACAGACCUUGGAACCCUGUCACCAGGCACCACGGUCUAGCGCCAACUGCCCUCCCAGUCACUUGGCUGGAAAUAGGCAGCAGCGAACAUGCUGUGCUGCUUUCCCAGGCCUCCAGGCCGCAGCCUCGGACCCCACGCAGGGAAACCACUUGCCAACGAGUGAGAGGAUGGUUCACUCGGCCCAGAAGCUUCAGGACCCUCAUCAGGAACCACCCAACAGUCACGGGCAGCCCAGGGCAGGUCUCACCAGACCCAGCCCCCAGAUGCCCAGAGACGAGAGAGAGCCCAGGGCAGGUGUCCCGAGGCCUGACUUUCAUCUGCUCAGAGGCACCGAAUCCACUACAGGUCUAUGUAGACCUGGACACCACUAUGGGAAAUCAGUAUUCCCAGAGCCUGGCAGAGGGCUGCACAGCGAGCAAGGUGCAGGCAAAUGCACUGCACACCCUGACAGAGGCCCCAGAACAGGACUUCCUGGAUAGGAAGAGCAGUGCCAGCUCCAGCCUCCGAUGAAGUCCCACCUGCUGACCUCCUGCCCACUCCACCUGCAGCUCCCUCACCAGCUCUGGCCCCACAACGAGAGCCAACACCUGGAACCUCUUCACCAGCUGCAGAGCUGGAACUCCUGGUGGCUCAACAGCAGAUCUCAUCUCUUGAACUCUACAGGGAGGUCUACAGAGCUCUUGACCCACACCCGCCAUUCCCCUCUCUUACUGAUUUACUUAUUAUUGUAUUUAUUGCUACCCUUAUUUCUCAGAGAUAAGUCAAUGAUAGAAUUAAUGUAAAUAAAAUUUAAGAUUUUUGUCUUGUUUAAAAUGAUCAGCUCACUGCAUUCUCAGUCAUUUGCAAUGUUGUGCAACCUUCACCACUGUCCCAUUCUACAAC